UUAAGAUGACAUCUAGCUAUUUAAUGUAAGCUUGUUUGUUUGGUCAGCUAACACAUUUUUACUUAAGUUUAGUAGUUUGCAGUUUUACAUAUUUUGUUGUUAUUCUUUGGUGACUCACAUUCUUUUUCUCCCUUACAGAGUUUUGAAACUUGAAGGCCUGCAGAGUCCUGUAUAUGGCUGUGCAGAGAUUGUGGAUCGUCUCAGACCUCCAGAUCAAAGCUUUUAAAGCACUUCAGGUUGGUACAUGGACAUUAUGGCCGCAAACACAAAUAUCCAUGUGCAUAUUCUAAUUGUCCAUGCACUUUUAAAACCUGGAAUGCACUGCGGUCCCACUUAUCCAGAUCACAUGGCAGUGAGCAGCUACCUCAAAAUCAAUAUUCUACACUGUAUUGAAACUACACUGAUAAAUUGUCAUGUUUGUGCUGUUACUGACAUUCCUUCAGUAAAUGAUUAUUUUCUCAUCAUUUACUUGCGCAGUCAUGAGACAGUUAGUUGUAUGUUUGAGGUCUGCUCAUUUAAAACAAACGUGUAUGGUACAUUCAAAUCACAUAAGAGCCGAAAGCAUUGUCAGUUUUCAGUAAAAGAAUUUUAAGGAAGGAAUAGUGAAAACACAAGAGGUUAGAGAAACAUCUAAUGACCCCUCCUUCAAAUGAAGAAACUGAAACAUCUAUGUUAGAAGAUGAUUCCUCUUCUACUGAUACAGAAGAGGUUUCAGAGAACCUGCCAAAGUUGGUAGAGCUUAAAUUUGCUUCCUUGCUGUUAAAGCUGGAAAAUCACUACCAUGUUCCAGGCUCAGCUGUAGAUGAGUUGUGUGGGGACUUGCAUUAUUUACUGAGUGAUGCUUCUCUCCCUUUGUCUCACAGAAUCAUUGUAGACACCAUACACAGGCACAGAAUUGACAAUGAUGCAGUAAUAGUCAACGACCUGGUUACAUCUUUAAGUGCAGCAAACCCUUUACUCUCUGCUAUAAAGCAUGGUGGUCCACUAAGCUUCUGCAUUUAAGCGCAAACAAUAUUACAGGGAAAUUUUUAAAAUUGUAGACCCUGUAGAGUAUGUUCUUGAAGCCAAGGGAAACAGAACUUUUCAGUAUGUUCCAAUACUGGAGUCUUUACAGAAUCUCCUCUGACAUACGGAUUUGAGAAAAUCUUGCGACCUCUUUUGCAAGAUCUCCAAACUUUGGAACAGCAAGGUGCGUAUGUCCAAUAACUUGGAACAUUCCUUAAAGGGACAGUACAAUGUGUUGAGGUUGAUAAUCUUGCCGCACAUUCCAUGGCUGGAUUCGUUGAGAACUUUUCAGGCGAGUACUGUUGUCGAUUUUGUACAGCUUCUCGUGCAAAUUCUCAGACCCCUGAAGUGAAGGGAGGUGAAUUCAAACUUUGGACUGCAGAAGAGCACCAAGGACAUGUGAAACUUGCUACAGAGAAAGAAGUAUCUGUGGAAUUCAGCAGGAUUACAACAAUUCCUUUGGUGUCCAAAUUCAUGGGUCAGCUUGAUAAUUUCUCCUCCCAGCUCCUCAAAAAUUUGAAAAAGAAAGGAGGAGCAGCCGCACAGAAGAUCACAGACAUCCUGUCAGUUUUGGAUCAGGUAUGUUCUCUAAAUUCAUCAUCAAUUCUCAUAAUUCAUAAUAGGCCAAACAUAUUUCAUCCAAAUAUGAUUAUUUUGUUAUUUUUAACUCAUCCUUCAUUCAAUCUUUUUUAUACUAAAAUUAUGGAUUAAAAGUUAAAGGUGAAUUUUCGUUCUUAGGCUCCAAAUAUCAUGAUUUUUUUUAUUUUGAAGCAUCAAUGACUUUCUGCCUCUUACACUUUAACAGAGUUGUUUUUGCAACUACAAUUAGAACAGCUCAGACGUUCAAGGUAAUUGUGUAUCCCAUGCAGUGCUUCUGAUUUGGGACCAUUGGUUGAUGGACACCCUUGACUUUCGUAAAAUACAGCAGUGGGAUAAUUUGCGUAAUGCUACUUAAAUUUAAGAUGUACAGCAAAAAGUACUAAUUCUCAUUUCAUUUUGAUUGGAGCAUCACCAUUGAAAAAAAGUGUGAAUGCAUCCUGAAAGCCUUAGUGGUCUACCUAAAUGAAGAUCCUUCAAACCUAGUGAAGGAGUACAUGGACGCUGAACAUGAUGAAGCCCAAAUUUUGAUGAGCAACACCACUAUCGGAAUCUGUGCCAUCAAACAUGAAGGGGCAGAUGUUGCAGACCCAUACGAAGAUGUUGGUGUCAUCAUCGAAGGCAUCCAAGUUCUUGACAACUUGGACAAUGUAGCUAAUGCAUGUUCCAUGAUGGUUGGUCUAAUUUAUGCAUUAAACUUGGCUUACCCCCAGGAUCUGAGAUAAUCUUUUGAAACAAUUCAAAAGUAUUUUAUGCAACUCGAUGCCAACAAGCUGUCAAACAAAGUCCAGGUCUUAAAAAAUAAACUCCUUUCAUAGGCACUGUAACUUGAAAGAAGGGCUAAGAGGCAGGACCUAUGUUUUGUCCAUGAUGUUGCACUGGCUGUUGCAGUACUUUUUUUUUCAGUGCUAACCAGGUGAUGUCUUUAAUAAUCUUUACUUCAUCUUUACUUUUGCUUUCAGAUGUUAAUCUUCAUUUGAAUAACUGCAAUGUUGUUUACUGCUUUUUUUUUCAAGUUUAUUAAAGAAGACUAUUUUUUCCACCAAGUAUACUUUUGUAAAUCGUUUAAUUUAAAGACAGUAUUCUUUUAUUUUACUUUUUACUGGUAAUUAUUAUUUAAUUUAUUAUUUUUUUUAACUUCUUGUAAUAAGUAAAGAAGUUUUAUUUUGAAAAGUGAAGGCAUUACUCAGAUUUUGUAAACAUGCUCUUGUUUGAAAAAAAUUAAAACAUUGUAAAAAUGUUACUUUGCUUUCAAAUGUUAAUCUUCCUUUGAAUAACAAGUGUUGUUAGCUGAUUUUUUUUAGUUUCAAGAAGGUGUUCUUUAUACUGUUAAAGAAGGCUGUUCAUUUUUUCCAAGUAUAAAAAGCAUUUUUGUCAAUCCUUUCAUUUAAAGGCUGCAUGCUUUUAUUUUACUUUAUACUUGUAUUAUUCUUUUAAUAGUAUUAACUUACUACAAUAAGUAAAGACAGCAUGUAGAUUUUGAAAAACAUUUUAUUGUUGGAAAAACAAUAGA